CGCACCUGCCUCUUCCUUCCUCUGCUGCGAAGCUGGUCCAAAUUAAGCAGCGGAAAAAAACGCGUGUGGACGGUGCCAGAGCGAGAGCACGGCAACACCCCCUUCCUCUCGGACCCUUCCUGGCCUUUCGUCUACCAUUCUGAGCCCUAUGUGGGCCAUGGCAGCCUGCAUCCAUGCUUGGUUACCUCCGCCUCCCCUCUUCUUACCUCUGCAGUGUGUCAUGUGAUUGCCAUUAGGAUUGUGGCCAUCACAUUCCUUUCAAACCAAGCUUGCCUGUACCCACCCAAUAAAGAGUC